rnacentral:lncRNA from 1 species
UUUAUAGGCAAGCAUCCAUGCAAGAGCAAGUGGCCAAGUUGGUUAAGGCACCUCCAUCCAAGGUAGGCACCUCCACCAAGGUAGGCACCUCCACCCAAGGUAGGCACCUCCACCAAGGUAGGCACCUCCACCUAUCUUCACAUUCUCCCACUUGAAGACUUUGAUGAUUGAAUCAAGUCUUCACACUUCAUCAUUUGUGAUUCUUCUAUCCUUUCGAUACUUGUCAUCUUCAUGCUGC